rnacentral:rRNA from 1 species
CAAUGGCGUAUAUUAAAGUUGUUGCAGUUAAAAAGACUCGUAGUUGGAUUUCUGGCAGGAGCGACCGGUCGGCCCAUUGUGGUGUGUACUAGUGUUGCAUCUGGCCAUAUUUGUGGAGAGCGUGUGUGGCAUUAAUUUGUCGUGCUCGGGACCCGCAUCGUUUACUGUGAGAAAAUUAGAGUGUUCAAAGCAGGCUUAUGCCUUGGAUAUGUUAGCAUGGAAUAAUAAGAUAAGACUUUGGCGGUCUAUUUUGUUUGGUUUGUCACGCCAUUGUAAUGAUUGAUAGGGACAGUUGGGGGUAGUUCAUAUUUAAUUAGUUCAGAGGUGGAAAUUACUUGGAUUUAUGAAAGAUGAACUACUGCGAAAGCAUUACCUAAGGAUGUUUUCUAUUAAUUCAAGAACGAAAGUUAAGGGAG